AGGCCGAGCCGAAGGGCAGAGCCGCACCAGCGGCCCGAGGGGACCGCGCCGGGAGGGGCUGCCGCGCAGCGCGGGGGGACUGGGCGCGGGGCAGGCCCCGGGUAGUGGCUGAGAGGGCCCGCCUGGACCCGGCGGGCGCACAGCUCCGAGCCCAGCGCAGCCGAGCCGGUCUGCAGAGGGGCCCCAGAACUUUGUGUGUGUGUGUGUGUGUGCACGCGCGCGCGUGUGUGUGUGCCCAGGUGCGAGGGUGCGCGCGUGUGCUGGCGGGGAGGGAACCGACCCGAAAGAGAGCCCCGGGCCGGCAAAGUGGCUCGCCCAUCUCACAGCCGGUUGGCGCUCGAAGAGGUAGGAGUGGAAUGAAUGAAUGAAGGAGUGGGCGCGCGCCGUGCUCCCGAGGAGGGCGGGAGACAUAUGCUGCCUGGCCUGCCUGGCUGAUGUGAGCUAGUUUGUCUGGUUGAGUUGGAUGUUUAAAUAGAAGGCAGAACAACAACAGGGUCUUGCUCUGUUGCCCAGGCUGGAGUGCACUUGCAGUGGCAUAAUCACAAUUCACUGCAGCCUCAACCUCCCAGGUUCAAUCAAUCCUCCUGCCUCAGCCCCCCAAGUAGCUGGGACUAUAGGCAUGCACCACCAUGGCUGGCUAAGUUUUAAAACUUUUUUGUAGAGACAUGGUCUCUCUGUGUUGCCCAGGCUGGUCUUGGACUCCUGGGCUCAAGCAAUCCUCCCACCUCAGCCUCCCAAAGUGCUGAGAUUACAGGUGUGAACUAUCUCACCUGGCCGUUAAUCUUUUUAUUAGUGAAAUAUCUGACCCAACGGCUAGGAUCUGAUGAUCUUUUUAGUAUGGCCUCAAAUCACUGUAUCCUGUAAGCAUUUUUUUUUUUUUUUGAGUUGGAGUCUCUGUUGCCCAGGCUGGAGUGCAAUGGCACAAUCUCAGCUCACUGCAACUUCUGCCUCCUGGGUUCAAGUGAUUCUCCUGCCUCAGCCUCCCAAGUAGCUGGGACCACAGGUGCCCGCCACCACACCUGGCUAACUUUUGCAUUUUUACUAGAGAUGGGGUUUUGCCAUGUUGGCCAGGCCGGUCUUGAACUCCUGGCCUCAAGUGAUCUCCCCACCUCAGCCUUCCAAAGUGCUGGGAUUACAGGCGUGAGGCACUGCACCUGGCCUAAACAUAUUUUCUUCUAGAGUGUUUUUAGGUCUGCACAUGGAGUCCUAGGUCAAUGCUGUCACCAACUCACACUGAGCCCUAACUAUGGAAUCUGAGCAACAUCAUUAGUUAGGCCCAUGGACAAAAUACCAAAGUCAUCUAUUUCCAUGUUCCAUUAUUUCCUCUUCUCCAUACAUUAUACAUACAACAGUUUCCCUUUAUCACACAUAACUGUGACCGCGUGGCAAUCAUUCUACCCCAAACUGCUGCAGCACAAUCUGAGGCUUACUAAAUAUUUGCCUCAGCCAUAAAGCUGAUAGAGCAUUAGUUUACAAUGCAAGUAGGGACCAUGAGGAUCUUUUGGGUUUCAUGCUGAAACAUUUGAGCUGCUCCUCCUACUGCAACUAUUACUACUAAAUGCAUUAUAUGAUUUUUGAAAACUAGAACAAUCCAAGUCUGGAUAAUUUUUAAAAUUCUCAUUUCUUUAACUUCCCCAACUGUUGUCUAUUCACCCUUUAUUCUACCUUUAAAGCAAGAAAAUCUGAAAUAAUUACUUAGAAAAUUUUUUCAUUUCCGUCAAAACAACAAAACCUAUAUCGUUUGAGUGAUUAGUCAAGGACAGUUAACAAAAGGACAGUGGUCAAAAAGAAAAAUGGCUCUUUAAACUCUUAGAGAAAAGAAAUCAAGCUUGCAUUGUGAUCAAACUAAAUGAAUGUACAUAGUAAUAAGCAAAAAUUUGAAUGGCAGACCAUGUUUUUCUUGCACCUAUGAAUUCAUUCUGAUGGAUAAGAUAGAUGGCUUAGGACUCCGUAUUACAUUUGUAUGAAUUAAUAGAUAUUAGGGGAAUGUGUAAUAAGUGACUGCAUGAUUGACUGAUACAGGUUUUGGAUUUUUAUUUUUAUUUUUCUGAGACAGGGUCCCACUCUAUCACCCAAGCUGGAGUGCAGUGGUGCGAUCUUGGUUCACUGCAACCUCUGCCUCCCAGGCUCAAGUAAUCCUGCCACCUCAGCCUCCCAAGUAGCUGGGACUACAGGCACCCACCACCACACCCAGCUAAGUUUUGUUUGUUUUUGUAGAGAUGGGGUUUCACCAUGUUGUUCAUGGCUGGGCCUCUUGAGUAGGUGGGACUACAAGAGUGCGCCACCAUCCUCCUGCCUUGGCCUCCCAAAGUGCUGGCAUUACAGGCAUGAAACACUGUGCCUGGGCUUAGGUUUUGGAUUUUACAUCUGAUUAUCCACAAAAAAGGAACCCAGAAACACUAAUAUAGUGGAAGCCAUUGCCUCAGUUAAGUAACACAAGUUGCAGUGACAGAUAAAUGCUAACAGUAGCCUAACACAAUGAAAGUUUAUUUCUCAUUCUGACAACAGUCAGCACAGGGGUUUAGCCCACAUAGUAGUUCAGGGACCUAGGCUUCCCCUACCUGUGAGUGGGAGCCUCGGAGGCCUUCACUUCCAGCUGGCAGAUAGAAGGAGAAAAUGGAGGAUACCCCCACGGGAGAUUUUUACGGGCCAGGCCUAGGCGUGGAGUGCUGGUUCCCUCUGCACUCGAUGGGCCACAACUCAGUGACAUGGCUACCUCUAACCACAGGCAGGCUGGGAAAUGAUCACAUAUGAUGCAGCUACUAAAAAUAAUGUCUGAGUUAUACCCAUUGGCCAAGGGGAAGUGUCCGUGAUAUAUUCGUGAGAGGAGUAAGUUUCACAGUGUGUUGUAUUGUGUAAUAUUUAUAAAAAGAAAUGUGAAAAUCCCUAACUAUACUGCAUGUCUUUGUAUAAUCCUAGUGAAAGGUACAGGGGGCUGUAUACCCCAGGCCCCACACAUCUAUUACCACAGAGUUGGGUAUGGAGGCAGUGGCAGAGAUAUGAAAUUACUAACUUUUUCUUUACAUAUCUUUGGAGUGUUUUUUUUUUUUUUUCAUUUCUUGCGGUGAUCCCAUACUUACUUUGGAAUUAAAUUUUUAGGUAUCAUUUUAAAGUAUGGGUGGUAGUUUUUGUGAAAUUUAGAAAAAAGAAGUGAAGAAGAAUGUGUUUGUGCAUCUCCACACUGUAAUAUUUUUUUCCUGUGGGAAGAUAUUUUUCGAAGUGGAGCAGAGCUUGUCUGUGUUCCAGGGUAUGCUAUAUCCCAUAGAAAGCACACCUCAAGAUUGAUUCCAUGUUUAGCAAGUUAUCUCCACAUUAAAACUUUAGUUUAUCAGUUUUGUGCAUAUCAUAUCAUGCACAUAAGUGCCCUGAACCUGAAUAUUCCUGUCCUAAAAUGACAUACUUCUCAUUCUAAAUUAAUAUAUUGAUAUUCUGAUUUGGGAAAGAUAAAGCCAGUCUGGGGUUUUAUAGGAAUAGAUCAGCUCAUCAGAUCCUGAUAACUCUUGAGUAAACUGGUAAAAUAGAGUUACCAAAACCACAAGGCUAAGACCUGGACUCCUGGCUUUACAGAGAUUCAUCCAAUAUCCACCGCUUCCAAGGAGAGCCAGCCAGCUUCACCCAUGGUCGGCUUGGUGGUUUGUGUGCUGGCCUGCAUCAUCACCUACCUGCUUGUCUUUAUUCUCUCUGCAGGUCCCAGAGGUUUGCCUUUUAAGUCAAAUUUUUCUGUAGAACUUCACCCAGCAUCUAGAUACAGUUUAUUGACAAUGAAAACAAAACAAACAGAUAUAGAACACAGUGAUGGGAAUACAGGUGGUUAUUCUUGAGGGACUGCAUGAAGCACAGUUGGACAAAUAGCCAGUCCUCUUUAUCUGCAGGGAUGUGGGCAGGAACAGGAAUCAGACUCCCUGUCUGUUUUUACUCAUAGGAGACUGAGUUUGCUCUUCAUUGGGUCCUAGACUUCCAAGUGAACCCUACUACAAAGGAUGAAUGAGGCAGGAGAGAAGGGUAUACUUUCACCCCUGUCCUCCAAAAGAGAUAUCCUGGAAAAUGCACUUUUAAAGUCAUAAGUAUCAUUUGAGGCCCAGGCAAGACUAUGGAGACAUGAAGAAGACAGUGGUUUCCCAGGAUCUAGGGGAGACAAAGGGGAUGAACACGUGGAGCACAGAUGAUUUUGAAACUGUCCUGUCUGGUACAGCAAUGAAGCUUUGAGGAAGAGCCAUAACUACCUGGAGCAGAAUGAUUAUUUGGAGCCACAGAAAAUCAUUUUAGGGAGCAGUGGGUCCAGGUUCAGUGUUGUGUGUUCAACUCGGAAAGAACACAGUUGGGUGGCUGACCGGGUUUCUUCUCCCCUGUGGCUCUGCUUGCAUUGGUCAUUCUGAGGUCAGGCAGGGGUUUGGCCACAGUGUUAGCCAUUGGCCCUGCAUUGAUCCUCACGUAGUAACAUCUUGUUUGGUUAUUAAAGUGGCUGAAUUGUUGGAA